UGACUCUGGCCUCAAAUCAGGUAGGACUACCCGCUGAACUUAAGCAUAUCAAUAAGCGGAGGAA
rnacentral:rRNA from 1 species